rnacentral:rRNA from 1 species
UACGUAGGUGGCGAGCGUUGUCCGGAUUUACUGGGCGUAAAGGGAGCGUAGGCGGACUUUUAAGUGAGAUGUGAAAUACCCGGGCUCAACUUGGGUGCUGCAUUUCAAACUGGAAGUCUAGAGUGCAGGAGAGGAGAAUGGAAUUCCUAGUGUAGCGGUGAAAUGCGUAGAGAUUAGGAAGAACACCAGUGGCGAAGGCGAUUCUCUGGACUGUAACUGACGCUGAGGCUCGAAAGCGUGGGGAGCAAACAGGAUUAGAUACCCCCGUAGUCCCU